AAUUACAACUAAAUUGUCCGCGACACGAGAAAAACAAACAUAGGCUAAAUCCUGAAAGGUGAAGAAGACCACGUUUUCUGUUGCUGUCUUUUUCAUGUUGUUACCUUGCUGUACAGUUAAGCAAGCAGCCCAUAUGCCAUAAUAAUCACAAACAAAAGCUUGUUGCUUUGAAUAUGCGUGACCAGAGCAGAGGCAUAUUCUCUAAGAAACAACUUGGUUGCUUUUCUAUAUUCAAU
rnacentral:lncRNA from 1 species